UACGGGGGGGGCAAGUGUUCUUCGGAAUGACUGGGCGUAAAGGGCACGUAGGCGGUGUAUCGGGUUGAAAGUGAAAGUCGCCAAAAAGUGGCGGAAUGCUCUCGAAACCAAGUCACUUGAGUGAGACAGAGGAGAGUGGAAUUUCGUGUGUAGGGGUGAAAUCCGUAAAUAUACGAAGGAACGCCAAAAGCGAAGGCAGCUCUCUGGGUCCCUACCGACGCUGGGGUGCGAAAGCAUGGGGAGCGAACAGG
rnacentral:rRNA from 1 species